GACGAACCGUCCAAACGUUAUUCGGAAUCACUGGGCUUACAGAGUUCGUAGGCGGUCUGGAAAGUUGGGUGUGAAAUCCCUCGGCUCAACCGAGGAACUGCGCUUGAAACUACCAGACUCGAGGGAGAUAGAGGAAAGCGGAACUGAUGGUGGAGCGGUGAAAUGCGUUGAUAUCAUCAAGAACACCGGUGGCGAAGGCGGCUUUCUGGGUCUUACCUGACGCUGAGGAACGAAAGCCAGGGGAGCGAACGGG
rnacentral:rRNA from 1 species